GCUUACGACCAUACCACCCUGAAUGCGCCCGAUCUCGUCUGAUCUCGGAAGCUAAUCAGCGUCAGGCCUGGUUAGUACUUGGAUGGGAGACCGCCUGGGAAUACCAGGUGCUGUAAGCU
rfam:Larimichthys crocea isolate SSNF unplaced genomic scaffold scaffold205, whole genome shotgun sequence.